rnacentral:rRNA from 1 species
UACGGGGGGGGCAAGCGUUGUUCGGAAUUACUGGGCGUAAAGGGCUCGUAGGCGGCCAACUAAGUCAGACGUGAAAUCCCUCGGCUUAACCGGGGAACUGCAUCUGAUACUGGAUGGCUUGAGUUCGGGAGAGGGAUGCGGAAUUCCAGGUGUAGCGGUGAAAUGCGUAGAUAUCUGGAGGAACACCGGUGGCGAAGGCGGCUUCCUGGACCGACACUGACGCUGAGGCGCGAAAGCUAGGGGAGCAAACGGG